rnacentral:rRNA from 1 species
UACGUAGGGGGCAAGCGUUGUCCGGAAUCAUUGGGCGUAAAGAGCGUGUAGGCGGCCAGAAAAGUCCGCUGUGAAAACUCGAGGCUCAACUUCGAGCUGUCGGUGGAAACUUUCUGGCUAGAGUCCGGAAGAGGAGAAUGGAGUUCCUGGUGUAGCGGUGAAAUGCGCAGAUAUCAGGAAGAACACCCGUGGCGAAGGCGGUUCUCUGGGACGGUACUGACGCUGAGACGCGAAAGCGUGGGGAGCGAACAGG